GUGUUGUAUGAUAGGAGAGAAGAUUAACACUCCUCUUUACAAAGAUGAAAGAGGUCUGAGUGGUCUUCAACACAUGUACGGUUAAAAUUUUGG